AUUGAACGCUGGCGGCAUGCUUUACACAUGCCAGUCGAACGGUAACAGGCCUUCGGGUGCUGACGAGUGGCGAACGGGUGAGUAAUGCAUCGGAACGUACCCAGAGGUGGGGGAUAACGCAGCGAAAGCUGUGCUAAUACCGCAUGUGAUCUGAGGAUGAAAGCGGGGGACCGAGCAGCAAUGUUUGGCCUCGCGCCUUUGGAGCGGCCGAUGUCGGAUUAGCUAGUUGGUGGGGUAAAGGCCUACCAAGGCGACGAUCCGUAGCUGGUCUGAGAGGACGACCAGCCACACUGGGACUGAGACACGGCCCAGACUCCUACGGGAGGCAGCAGUGGGGAAUUUUGGACAAUGGGCGCAAGCCUGAUCCAGCAAUGCCGCGUGCGGGAAGAAGGCCUUCGGGUUGUAAACCGCUUUUGGCAGGAACGAAACGGAGUCCGCUAAUACCGGGCGCUAAUGACGGUACCUGCAGAAUAAGCACCGGCUAACUACGUG
rnacentral:rRNA from 1 species